UUAUAAAUUUUUAGGUUAAAUGAAAAUUGUUAAUUUUCUACAAAAUUACCUAGA
rnacentral:tRNA from 1 species